rnacentral:rRNA from 1 species
UACCAGCACCCCGAGUGGUCGGGACGUUUAUUGGGCCUAAAGCAUCCGUAGCCGGUUCUACAAGUCUUCCGUUAAAUCCACCUGCUCAACAGAUGGGCUACGGAAGAUACUAUGGAGCUAGGAGGCGGGAGAGGCAAGCGGUACUCGAUGGGUAGGGGUAAAAUCCGUUGAUCCAUUGAAGACCACCAGUGGCGAAGGCGGCUUGCCAGAACGCGCUCGACGGUGAGGGAUGAAAGCUGGGGGAGCAAACCGG